rnacentral:lncRNA from 1 species
UUUGCAUGUACUGCUAGUUCAUGACAAAUGAACAUUAAUUUUCCAUCUCUUCAAAUUGAAAAGACUGCAGAGCCUGAAUUACCUGCAACGUUAUGCUUCUUAUGAAACAUCAGCCAGCCUACAGAUAGAAGCUCCAUUUUCCAGCUUUAAGCAAGAGGAACCACAAUGAGAUACAGAUCUUGGUAUCAUGGACUGGUCACUUUUUACAACAAACACUACUUGUAAAAUAAGAUUUACAAAUUAAUUCCUAUAAGCUAUUAAAAUGCUCUAGUCAAGGUACUAAAAUUUUGCCAUCGAGUUUGAGGUUUUGGGUUUGAUAAAAUGUUAACAUAAAAUAUUUUAAAGGAAGUAAACGUUUUAAUGAUACUUCCAAGAUUUCCUAUAUUUUAAACAGAAUUUCAGAAUCUUGCAGAAGAAAAGAGAAGAAAUAAAAAGCUAUUAUUCUGUCAUGGAGGUUAUUGUUACCAAACUCACAUUACAUAGAUAAUUUUGUUCAUGGCAAUAAAUCUUAAAAUAUCAAAUUGGAAUUUAUUAAUUAGCAAUUCAUCUGAGCAGCAGUUUGAUGACCUAUUUGGAACUCUUCCUUGAGGCACUUCUUGCAUGACUAUGUAUCGAUAAUUACCUGUUGGUGCUUAAAGUGCUAUUGUAGCAAUUGCUCAACAACAAAUACAAAAUAAACAACAGAACAUUGUGAUUGAGUGAAAACAGAUUUUUCCUGCAGGAAAUAUAUUAACUCUGACUUAUGUUGUCCUUAGAAUUUUUUGUCAAAGCUGAUAGAAAAGAAUUGAUGAUUAAUUUCAUAUAGACAAACUAUUGCAUCAAGAAACCACAUUCUCACCGACUGCGUGACCUUACAUGACAAUGUAUAUCAUCCUUAGAUUAACAACCGUAUGAGUAACAGAAAUAUUUGUGACAAGUAUUACUCUUUUAAUCUCCAUAAAGGUAACUUGAAUAGAGAGUGGCAGAUAUUAGCUGCAGUAGUUUUAACAACUGGCUGAUACUUUCAUAGGAGCACUUUUAUUUGUGUCAUUUAAAAUAUUGUAAUUGUAUCCCUUGAAUGUGUUUGCUAUGCUCAUCAUUUACAAAAUGUAGAUUUCAUUCAUUAAAGCAUAAACAUAUUGAUUAUACUUUAAAA